UUCGGCAGCUCGCUCUCUGCUACUCUCACAUGGUCGCCCACUAAAGCUAAGCAGGCCUGCACCUGGUCAGUACCUGGAUGGGAGGCCACAUGAGAAAGCUAGGAUGCUGCUGGAA
rnacentral:rRNA from 1 species